CGUGUCAGCAGCCGCGGUAAAACGUAGGAGGCGAGCGUUAUCCGGAUUCACUGGGCGUAAAGCGCGCGUAGGCGGUUGGUUAAGUCGGACGUGAAAGCCCCUGGCUCAACUGGGGGAGGUCGUUCGAUACUGGCCGGCUUGAGGGUGAGAGAGGGAAGUGGAAUUCCCGGUGUAGCGGUGGAAUGCGUAGAGAUCGGGAGGAACACCAGUGGCGAAGGCGGCUUCCUGGCUCACUUCUGACGCUGAGAGCGCGAAAGCGUGGGGAGCAAACGGGAUUAGAUACCCCGGUAGUCCACGCUCUAAACGAUGAGGGCUAGGUGUUGGUGGGAUUACCCAUCUGUGCCGAAGCAAACGCGUUAAGCCCUCCGCCUGGGGACUACGAACGCAAGUUUAAAACUCAAAGGAAUUGACGGGGGCCCGCACA
rnacentral:rRNA from 1 species